rnacentral:lncRNA from 1 species
AGGACAUCAUCACAUGCUCAGACUUCUAAAACAUUUCGUGGAAGAGAGUAGACUGUUUACCGGAUGCCCUUUUAUUUUUGCCGUGCAGGAUUAGUACCUUCUACUUCCUUAAAUGUAGGCAAAUAAAAUUACGGAGAAAUAAAAUGACUGCAGCCUUUGAGCGCUGGUUUGUCCUAGGACAAUCGGAUUUCACCGGGUCGGGGAAGGUGUGAUUAUGAAAAUAAACAAGGGAAGUGAGGGAAAUAUAACCAAGUGGAAAAAGGAAAUGGAGUGCAAAUUGAGAACAUAAUCCAGAAUUUGUAAAAGUGGUAUGGAUAAAGAAGGUCAAAAUGGUCUCUGAUGAAAAGAAACUUUUAAAAUGCUUGGAAAAGUUAAUGAAUUAGAUUUCCCUGCACUUGAAGAUAUUAGGAUUGGGAGAUCAAGACUCCCAUCAGCCAAAUCAAGAAUAUUCACAAUUGACAGGAAAACUCAAAGUUUCUUUUUCCCCACCAGAGAAAUGUCUCCCACCACCAUAGCUAAACAGUGGGCAGCCUUUUGAGUCUAGAAAGGCAAGUUUUCGAAUUGUGCUCUGGAGGUGAAAAAGAAAUGAUUUCAGAAUAGUGAACAUUUGCAAAUAAAAAUGUGUCUACUAUGCAAUGAAGAAUUUUAAAUUUGCAGUGAAAGUCUGACAUCUGGUGGUCAGAAAGAGGAGCAUCAGAAGAGGAGGCUAUUGUAAAAUUUCUGUUGGCUUUCAUAAAAUAAAAACCAAAUUAAAACGUACAAGAAAUUCUUCC